rnacentral:rRNA from 1 species
UGCCUUAUAGUGGGGGAUAGCCUUUCGAAAGGAAGAUUAAUACCGCAUAAGAUUGUAGUAUCGCAUGAUAUAGCAAUUAAAGGAGCAAUUCGCUAUAAGAUGGACCCGCGUCGCAUUAGCUAGUUGGUGAGGUAAUGGCUCACCAAGGCGACGAUGCGUAGCCGACCUGAGAGGGUGAUCGGCCACCAUUGGGACUGAGACACGGCCCAGACUCCUACGGGAGGCAGCAUG